GCUAGAAUGGGAGUGGUUGAGGCGGAGAAGGAGAGGAGGAGUAAAUAAGUGAAUAAGAUAGGGGUAAAAUGGGAAUUAGAAAUGGGAAAACUUUUGAUGCAUGCCACCAUUUUUAAUUUUGUUUUCCCUGCAAGAAAUGGUGGCUCUAGCAGAGAGAGAUGGAAUUGCAAGGAAAGAAGAGAUACAGUGAAUACUAGUGAAG
rnacentral:misc_RNA from 1 species